CCUACGGGCGGCUGCAGUGGGGAAUAUUGGACAAUGGGGGCAACCCUGAUCCAGCCAUGCCGCGUGUGUGAAGAAGGCCCUCGGGUUGUAAAGCACUUUCAGUGAGGAAGAACGCCUGGUGGUUAAUACCCAUCAGGAAAGACAUCACUCACAGAAGAAGCACCGGCUAACUCCGUGCCAGCAGCCGCGGUAAUACGGAGGGUGCGAGCGUUAAUCGGAAUUACUGGGCGUAAAGCGCGCGUAGGUGGCUUGAUAAGCCGGUUGUGAAAGCCCCGGGCUCAACCUGGGAACGGCAUCCGGAACUGUCAAGCUAGAGUGCAGGAGAGGAAGGUAGAACUCCCGGUGUAGCGGUGAAAUGCGUAGAGAUCGGGAGGAAUACCAGUGGCGAAGGCGGCCUUCUGGACUGACACUGACACUGAGGUGCGAAAGCGUGGGUAGCAAACAGGAUUAGAUACCCUGGUAGUC
rnacentral:rRNA from 1 species